UAUUUUAUCUGUAUACUCUCUAAUUUGUAUUUCUCUUUUUUAAAACCAGGCUGUUGAUAUCUGUGAACCAAAUCCAAUCCUAAUGCUCAUGCUGUGUGUCUACAUGUAUGAAAAGCUUCCUGCAUUCCUCCCAAAGAAGGUGGUGCCAUUUUAUUGUACUCUGUAUGACUCUGUGCAAAGGCAGAUACUACUGAAAAAUCCAAGCUUGAAAAACAUAUUGUAUCAUGCUACAAUUGUUGGGAGAGAUGCUGCUGACUUUUCUCUGGUUCAGAAAGGAAAUGUUAUAACAGUCCCUCCCCAAAAUGAAAUUAUUAUUACUGUGAAAUUUACCAGUCGCUUUCUUCAUCCUGCUGAAGCUUCAUUGCUAUUAAUUUCAAAACCCAAGCGUAGAGUGCAAGGCAUCACAGUGACUUUUGCUCUGAAAGGUGAAGUCCUCAAUAUUAAAGCAAUUGUAAGUGAAUUUUACUUAUUUUGUCUCUGAGUCUGUUCUCAAACCUUACAGUAGCAUGUUUC
rnacentral:lncRNA from 1 species